UACGUAGGGUGCAAGCGUUGUCCGGAAUUAUUGGGCGUAAAGAGCUCGUAGGCGGUCUGUCGCGUCUGCUGUGAAAACUCGGGGCUUAACCCCGGGCCUGCAGUGGGUACGGGCAGACUAGAGUGCGGUAGGGGAGACUGGAAUUCCUGGUGUAGCGGUGAAAUGCGCAGAUAUCAGUAGGAACACCGGUGGCGAAGGCGGGUCUCUGGGCCGUAACUGACGCUGAGGAGCGAAAGCGUGGGGAGCGAACAGG
rnacentral:rRNA from 1 species